rnacentral:rRNA from 1 species
UACGUAGGGGGCUAGCGUUGUCCGGAAUCAUUGGGCGUAAAGCGCGUGUAGGCGGUCCGGUAAGUCCGCUGUGAAAGUCGGGGGCUCAACCCUCGGAUGCCGGUGGAUACUGUCGGGCUUGAGUACGGAAGAGGCGAGUGGAAUUCCUGGUGUAGCGGUGAAAUGCGCAGAUAUCAGGAGGAACACCAAUUGCGAAGGCAGCUCGCUGGGACGUUACUGACGCUGAGACGCGAAAGCGUGGGGAGCAAACAGGAUCAGAU